rnacentral:rRNA from 1 species
CGAAAGCCUGACGGAGCAAGACCGCGUGGGGGAAGAAGGCUCUUGGGUUGUAAACCCCUUUUCUCUGGGAAGAAAGUUGUGAAAGCAACCUGACGGUACCAGAGGAAUCAGCAUCGGCUAACUCCGUGCCAGCAGCCGCGGUAAGACGGAGGAUGCAAGCGUUAUCCGGAAUGAUUGGGCGUAAAGCGUCCGCAGGUGGCAGUUCAAGUCUGCUGUCAAAGACCGGGGCUUAACUUCGGAAAGGCAGUGGAAACUGAACAGCUAGAGUAUGGUAGGGGCAGAGGGAAUUCCUGGUGUAGCGGUGAAAUGCGUAGAGAUCAGGAAGAACAUCGGUGGCGAAGGCGCUCUGCUGGACCAUAACUGACACUCAGGGACAAAGCUAGGGGAGCG